AUAUACAGUAUAUAAACGAAUGAAAGGAGUGUUUAGUAUUUUGCCCACUAAUUUGAGAGCGGUAAGGGGAAAUGCAUGGGCGUUCUUCAUGAAGCUGCACCCACUGGAUAAAGCGUAAACCAAACUUCACAAAGAUAGUAUGCUUCUCUGAAGCUUGGUGAGCGAAAUACUAAUCCGUGCCCGUAUGAAAAAAAUACCUCGCGUACCUGUGUACAAGUUGUACCGUACCUGUGUACAAGUUGACUACUUCAUCUAUAAAGUCCUUUACACCGUUUUUCCAUUUUCGCCAACAAUUCUCUUCCACCUGUGACACCAUGAAUUUCUGUGUUAUUAAAAUGUACACAGAUCCCGGGCAGCUACAAUAUUUUAAUAAUUUGAUGCCUAAGCACAAAGUUUGCGUUUUCAAUUCACGAGCGCCAAAAUAAAAUGUCAAAAAUGUGCAGACUUUAUCUGUGCUGCUGUGACACUGCCGAUAUAUGAGUGCUAAAAAAAGACAAAUAAGGUACUAUUUUUAUGUGAUGUUAUUAUUGAUCAGCUGAUUGAAAGGGCAAUUAUCUCCCCCGUCGUUAGCAGAGAGGGCGAAAUAUGUUGCAUUUUCCCAUAUUUUUAGAGUAACCCUGUGAGAAAAGAUAGCUCUGCCCUCUGCAAAGAUUGCAUUCAUUUUACAAAAGAACACAGCAUUUUAAAGUGACAGCAUCAGGGCAGAAUUUUAUGGAGAAACGAAAACACUAUUAUUCAAUUUAUUAUAUUCAACAAUUUUUAUUGAGCUUGAGGCCGUUUUUUAAUGAAAACUAAUUGUGGAAAAGCAACAAUAAUUUGAUUUGAUAAUUUUUUCAAAUUAUUGUGGGUUUUCCACAAUUAGUUUAUAAUAUAAUUGUUAUAAGGCCAUAAAAUAACAAAA